rnacentral:rRNA from 1 species
UACGUAGGUGGCAAGCGUUGUCCGGAUUUAUUGGGCGUAAAGGGAGCGCAGGCGGUGACUUAAGUCUGAUGUGAAAGCCCACGGCUCAACCGUGGAAGGUCAUUGGAAACUGGGUCACUUGAAUAUAGAAGAGGAAAGUGGAAUUCCAUGUGUAGCGGUGAAAUGCGUAGAUAUAUGGAGGAACACCAGUGGCGAAGGCGACUUUCUGGUCUAUUAUUGACGCUGAGGCUCGAAAGCAUGGGUAGGCAAACAGGAUUAGAUA